CACUUUGCUCUCCAUGCGUGAGCUGUCCUAGGGGUGACAGAACAGUGGUGUGAGAGUGAGGAAUCUGCAUUUGUCCCGAGAGGCCUGGUUAGGAAGCUGCUGCCUGUUCCCUGGUUGGUCGGUGCUGGAAUAUCUGCCGACAAUAGUCUCUUCUGCUGGUGCCUGUGUGCCAAUGGCAGUAGGAAGCCUUUAACUUCUCAGUAGCUGAAUUCAACAGGAGCAGGUUGCUGAGAGCCAGCAGAAGCCUGGAAGGUGCACCACCCUACCUGGGGCUGCUGAGUUCUCCAGAAACUGCACUCUGCUCUUCUCCAUCUCAUAAACAUCAGUGCCAGAAUAUAGAAAGAUGACUCUGCAACGUAAGAAGUAUUUCAGUGUCACUGCUUCAUAACACAUCUGGUUAUUUAAAUAGUCUUCAGACCAAAUUAAGUGCAAUCUGUUGCUUUAAGCCACUUGACACUGGAAAGAAUCAGGUUGGAAAAGUACUGCAGAUGGACUGUGACCUGAUAGAGGCCUCUGAGGAUACAGCAUUGUGAACACUAAGCAGAUGUAAUAGUAAUUACAUUCUGAGAGCAGAUACUCUGAUGUCAAAAACACAGAAGCUCUUUUCCUCACUUUGGUGUCUCUGCUCCUGGGUUAGAUUACAUUUAUUUGGUAAAGGCAACAUGUGUCUGUGGCUAAAAUACAGAGGAAAUGCACAGAAAAUACCUGGUAGUCAUUGGGAGACCUGGGCCCACGACCCAGCACUCAGGGCCAACAGAGCAUCUUUCUGAUGUAAGCCAGCUUGAGACAUGGCUUGUCUGACUAUGCAGAGGGAACAAGAGGUCCCUUGUGCCAACAGCCCACACACAGACAGCAGUACCAGGGAGAAGCAGGCACUGAAAUUAUGAUGUCUCUGCCUGGCACAGCAAGUAGUGCAGCCCAGGAGGAACAGAGCUGUGGAGUCAGACAGUUACCAGUGAGGACCAUAUCUUCACACUAUACAAUUUUCACAAGAGUUUGUUUCAGACCACCAUUAGUCCAGAUUUAUGGUUUGUGAGCCACCUGCAAUGGAUCAUUUGGGUUGGCUUUAGGCAGAAACAAUCUGGUUACCCUGCUGUGUGUGCCCAGUGCCACGGACCACAGCACAGUAGGUGGGAACAGUCAGGAGUUUCAUGCUCCUCAUUUAAACUGACACUAAUUUAGCCAUGCCAAAUGUGGAAUUAGGACAAGGCAAACAUGAG